GGUGUCUCUAGUGACUCAUCAAGUGAUAUUUGGCAAGACAUUUUCCCAUUUAUGCCAGUUUCCUAUUCUGUUGAAUGAGGAAAUUUUCUCUUUAAAGACCCUAAAAGUUUUGACUUUAUAGGUUUCAAAGUUCUGUGGAAACAUUUUCUAUUGCUUAUUAAUUUGAAUCUUAUGUAACUUUAGCACAGUACUCAAUAUUUAUGGCAUUUACAUGGUUUAUCUCACGUUUUUUUAUAGCUCUUCAUUGUUCCUAUCUGCCAAAUCAUUAUACUUCCUACAAGCGGUGCGGAGAGCUGAGUCUUCAGCAGGUCCAAGAAAUUUGAACACACUGAAGGAAGUCAGCCUUCCCACCUGAAGAUCAACGUGCCUGGCACUCUAGCACUUUAGGAUAGCUGAAUGAAUGUGUAUUUCUUCAUCUCUUUCUUCCUUGUCUUUGCUCUUUGUUCUCUAUCUAAAGUGUGUCUUACCCAUUUCCAUGUUUCUCUUGCUAAUUUCUUUCAUGUGUGCCUUUGCCUCAUUUUCUCUUUUUGUUCACAAGAGUGGUCUGUGUCUUGUCUUAGACAUAUCUCUCAUUUUUCAUUUUGUUGCUGUUUCUGUUUGCUCUCCUAGAUGUGGCUCUUCUUUCACGCUUUAUUUCAUGUCUCCUUUUUGGGUCACAUGCUGUGUGCUUUUUGUCU
rnacentral:lncRNA from 1 species